AGAACAGACUGAGCAAAGUUCACUCCUCAUAAAUACAUUUUGGCACAAGGCAUUUUGAUUUCAGCCAUGAGACCACAUUUAUUUGCUAUUUUCAAGCCAGCGUGAAGGGUUGAUUGUGAGCUGCCUGUUCACAUGGUGCAGAGAAUGAAGCCUAAGACAAUCGCGUUUCUGAUUUCAUAUGCAGAAUUGAACAGCUGCCACAUAACACAGUGAACAGAACAGUAACCGCUCACCGCUGCAUUUGAGUACAUCCAUUGAGCAAAAUCCACUGUAUUGAAUUCUUGAGACACCUGGUUUGUCAGCCAUAGUACUCAAUAUCUUCAGGUAGAACUUGUGAAGGUUUCAUGGAAACCACAAAUCAUUUCACAGUGACAACAAAAUUCAACUUGAACUCGUUAUUCCCACUCAGAAUGCAUUUCUGCAUACAGUUCCUGAAGGAUCCUCCUUUUCCUCUCCAG
ensembl:lncRNA